rnacentral:rRNA from 1 species
AAUAGAUACCCAGGUAGUCCACGCCCUAAACUAUGUCAACUGGUUGUCGGGGAAGCAAUUCCUUGGUAACGAAGCUAACGCGUGAAGUUGACCGCCUGGGGAGUACGGCCGCAAGGUUAAAACUCAAAGGAAUUGACGGGGACCCGCACAAGCGGUGGAUUAUGUGGAUUAAUUCGAUGCAACGCGAAGAACCUUACCUACCCUUGACAUGCCAGGAACCUCGCAGAGAUGUGAGGGUGCCCGAAAGGGAACCUAGACACAGGUGCUGCAUGGCUGUCGUCAGCUCGUGUCGUGAGAUGUUGGGUUAAGUCCCGCAACGAGCGCAACCCUUGCCAUUAGUUGCCACAUUCAGUUGGGCACUCUAAUGGGACUGCCGGUGACAAACCGGAGGAAGGUGGGGAUGACGUCAAGUCCUCAUGGCCCUUAUGGGUAGGGCUUCACACGUAAUACAAUGGCCGGUACAGAGGGCAGCCAACCCGCGAGGGGGAGCUAAUCCCAGGAAAGCCGGUCGUAGUCCGGAUUGCAGUCUGCAACUCGACUGC